GGUGCUGGGACUAGGGUCCCAUUGAGUUGGGCGAUAAUCUCCCUUGGUGUCACAACUUCCCGUGUGCUCUUGGUUCUGGGACACCACCAUCCCACUGCUCUAGCAUGUCGGGGGUCAACAUGGGAGGCCCUUCUUUGCUCGCCGCCUUGACCUGGAAGCUUGGGUCAGCAGACCUAAGGCCAUCCUGGCAGCUGUACUGCUCACCCUGACCUACCAAGCAGUUUACAUUUGAACAUCAUUCUUCAGGGAUUCAUAAAAUAUUUAUACAAAGAUCAAGAUCGUUAACCAUAAAAAGUUCACAUUUUAACUAUUCGGCCUCCAGAUUUCUGUGCUCAAGUUCCUGCCUUGACUUCCCUCCACAGUGGACUGUCACCUGUAAGCCAAAUAAACCCUUUCCCAG